ncrna:unclassified sequences DTF1646 RNA
GGUUGGACGGCUUGUGCCGUUUUCAAGAUACGUCUUCUUGGGUGGGAAGUC